AUAUAACCAACGACAUGGAUCAAGUGUAGGUAUGUAGCAUGGAAAUAACAUAAAGUGUGGUCAAUAGAAUAUCUAUUUCCAACUGGUUCUCUUUAUUUAGAUCAAUCAUAAACAUUAAGAGUACAAAACUUUAAAACUGAAUAUCUACAGAUAUAACUGAAUUACUGGAUGCAAUGAACAAUACAUAAAUGUAUAAUACAAACUCCCACUAAAAUACAUAAUCC
rnacentral:lncRNA from 1 species